rnacentral:misc_RNA from 1 species
GAAAUGCGAUAAGUAAUGUGAAUUGCAGAAUUCAGUGCAUCAUCGAAUCUUUGAACGCACAUUGCGCCCCCUGGUAUUCCGGGGGGCAUGCCUGUUCGAGCGUCAUUUCACCACUCAAGCCUCGCUUGGUAUUGGGCGACGCGGUCCGCCGCGCGCCUCAAAUCGACCGGCUGGGUCUUCCGUCCCCUCAGCGUUGUGGAAACUAUUCGCUAAAGGGUGCCGCGGGAGGUCACGCCGCAAAACAACCCCAUUUCUAAGGUUGACCUCGGAUCAGGUAGGGAUACCCGCUGAACUUAAGC